CAAAACAAGCUGAGAGUGCCAAAGCCUUGGAGGAAAUCUUGGGCUCCACCUUCCAGUGUGCUGCUGCAGUGCUCUGACAGCUCAAAGAAGCCUUUUGGUCCUAUGUCACACCUCUGGGAGCUUCUCUGUGCACAUCUGUGAGACACAGAGGUCAGGCUGUAAUGGGUGUAAAGAAAGAAAAGCAAGUUCAAACAGAAGGUGGGAGAACUUAGAAGGUGGGAGGAGGAGGAAACCAGUGGUCCAAAAUGGGCAAGUCCCAUC